rnacentral:piRNA from 1 species
UUCAUUAGCUGUACUUCUAUA